UGGGGAAUAUUGCGCAAUGGAGGAAACUCUGACGCAGCAACGCCGCGUGAGUGAAGAAGGUUUUCGGAUCGUAAAGCUCUGUCUUUGGGGACGAAUAAAAUGACGGUACCCAAGGAGGAAGCCCCGGCUAACUACGUGCCAGCAGCCGCGGUAAUACGUAGGGGGCAAGCGUUGUCCGGAAUUACUGGGCGUAAAGAGUACGUAGGCGGUUUGUUAAGUUAGAUGUGAAAGUUUGCAGCUCAACUGUAAAAGUGCAUUUAAAACUGGCAGACUUGAGUCUCGGAGAGGUAAGCGGAAUUCCUAGUGUAGCGGUGAAAUGCGUAGAGAUUAGGAAGAACACCGGUGGCGAAGGCGGCUUACUGGACGAGUACUGACGCUCAGGUACGAAAGCGUGGGGAGCAAACAGG
rnacentral:rRNA from 1 species